rnacentral:snRNA from 1 species
GCACUUACCUGGCGUAGGGGAUACCGUGAUCAUGAAGGCGGUUCCCCCAGAGCGAGGCCUUACCAUUGCACAAACUUGAAACUAACAGAAUGAUACUAAUUCACAUAUAUUUCAAUACUAAACGAAAUGCAUUUAAUUAAAUAAGUUAUCUAUUUUAAUAUACAUAACCU